UACGGAGGUGGCAAACGUUACUCGGAAUUAUUGGGUGUAAAGGGCAAGUAGGCGGCUUAAUAAGUGGGGGGGUGAAAUACUUCGGCUCAAUCGGAGAACUGCCUUCCAAACUGUUAAGCUUGAGUAUGACAGAGGAAAAUGGAAUUCUUGGUGUAAGGGUGAAAUCUGAUAGAUAUCAAGAAAGAACACCAGCUGCGAAGGCGAUUUUCUGGGUCAUUACUGACGCUAAAUUGCGAAAGCUAGGGGAGCAAACAGA
rnacentral:rRNA from 1 species